GGGGAGAGAUGUGUGGAGGCUGCUCUGCUGGGGCCACCCAGCGUGGGCGGGAAGGGCAGGAAUGCGGCUGAAACUGAGGCGGGCGCGGCUGUGGGGACAGCAGCCAGCGGUGGGUUUUCCGCGGGGCCCAGAGAGGCCCCUUCGCUCGGCCCCUGCACGCACACUGGGACCUUUCUUCA
rfam:Erinaceus europaeus cont1.105103, whole genome shotgun sequence.